UGGUGCGGAGCGGAGAACUUUGGAAAAGGGACAGGUUGGGGAUGCCAGGUGGUUUUUAGCCUAUCUGCAGCAACAUUCUGUUCCUUACCAAGAGUAGAUUGCAACCCAAAGAGCAGCAAGGGAGGGCCUGGGAGGCCGGCUAUUUAGUGAUAAAGACCUCGCCCCUCGCCCAGACUCAUUUCCUUGUAGCAUGGCCAGAAACCUGAUCUGCCCCUCUUCUAUAAGUUUUGCACCACAAUUCCCAUCUGGAUUAACCAAACUUGCUCCUUCACAAAGGGUUGCCGGUCAGGCCUAGGCGAAGUACAUUCAUAGGUUGUUUUCUAGGUGUCUUAUCUGACUCCCCAACACGUGGCCCACCCAGGUUUCCCCCUCCCUAGCCUCUGCAUCCUACACCUUCCCGUUCAAGUAUAUUCAAAAUCCAGGUUCCACCUGUGGCCUCUGCCACAACGCCACUCUAGCUCUACCAAAGUCACUCCUGCCCCCAAGCUGCCACAGUUAAAAUCUGGAGCCAGGGAGUUUUAACUUUCUGCAGAAGGCUGAAACCUGAGCUUGUUCAAUGGCCAGGGCAAAGUUUUGUCUAAAACUUAUUUCUGCACAGACUCUCCAGUCAGUUGCAAUUGUGCACAAGAUAGGUUCCCUGAUGAAGUGGCAAAAGGAACAUAUAAUUAUUUAAACUCUACUAGAAGGCUUGUUUCUACCUAGAGUGAGGAGUCUUUCCAAUUUACUUCUACCCCGGCACUGUCAUUUUAGCUAUCAUUUCAGUCUUCUCCUGUUUGGAUUCUAACAUUCUCAAGUAAGACUACCUGGACUUUGAAUCUCUAUACCUACUCUAUACCUCCUUCAUUUUUGCAUUCUAAAAGGUGUAUAAAGCCCAUUUUCUGCCACCAUUUAUGGAUAACUGUAAUUCCUGACACAGACAUCUGGAAAGAAAAACAAGUUACUACCUCUGCAAAGUUUUCCAACUGCUUUUUAAAAUAUUAAAGAAGAUUGACCUCUUCCAGUUUAAUCUAAGGCUGAUUGUCAGAGAUAGUCACAUUGAAUUAUUUUACUAAACAAAUGUAUUUUAAAGACACAACUGGUCUUUUAAAAACUCAAAUCCCAAUAAGCAUUCCCUAUGUGCCAUGAUGCUUACUCUUUCUUUUCUGAUUAUAAUUAUGUUUUUAUCACCUUAAAUCCCAAAGACUGUGACCUCUUGAACAGCAUAUUCUCUAUCACGUGUUUUGUAGAUCCUGAAAGCUACCACAGUGCUAUUUGCACAAUAUUUAGUUGCCAGAUUUUUGUUGAAUUGACUCUGGGCAGUCAUCGAAAGAAUUUGACUUUCUUUGUUUCCAAGGAUCUGCCAAGAAUUGGAAAAAGCAUGGAACCACAUGGAGCAGCCCAACAAAGAGUUCCACCUGGAAAAGAAUUGAAAACUACUGACAACAACUACCAAGGAAUCAAGGCUUCUUGCAAGUAGCCCUGGCAGUAGGACUCGGAAACCAAUCCUUCUGCCCCAAGCAAGCUUUCAAGUGACUACAGCACCAGCUGAUAGCUUGACUGAAGAACCUUGACCCAUGACCACUCAGCUAAGCUGCUCCCCAAUCUUAAUGCUCAGAAACAGUGUAAGACAAUAAAUGUUUGUUGCUUUAAGUUGCUAAGAUUUCAAAUAAUUUACUGCACAACAACAAAUAGCUAAUAAAUGUACAUUUUAAGC